AACGAACGCUGGCGGCAGGCCUAACACAUGCAAGUCGAGCGAGGACUUCGGUCCUAGCGGCGGACGGGUGAGGAACGCGUGGGAACGUGCCCCUUGGUACGGAAUAGCCCCGGGAAACUGGGAGUAAUAGCGAAUGUGCCCUUCGGGGGAAAGAUUGAUAGCCUUUAGAGCGGCCCGCGUCUGAUUAACUAGUUGGUGAGGUAAAGGCUCACCAAGGCGACGAUCGGUAGCUGGGCUGAGAGGAUGAUCAGCAACACUGGGACGGAGACACGGCCCAGACUACCACAGGAGGCAGCAGUGGGGAAUAUUGGAAAAUGGGCGCAAGCCUGAUCCAGCCAUGCCGCGUGAGUGAUGAAGGCGUUAGGGUUGUAAAGCUCUUUCGCCGCCGAAGAUAAUGACGGUAGUCGGAGAAGAAGCCCCGGCUAACUUCGUGCCAGCCGCCGCCGUAAAAC
rnacentral:rRNA from 1 species